ensembl:snRNA U6 U6 spliceosomal RNA
GUGCUCACUUCAGCAGCACAUAUACUAAAAAUUGGAAAAACAGGGAGAAGAUCAGCACGGCCGCUGUGCAGACAUGAAAAUUCAUGAAGCAUUUCUUACUUUU